UACGAAGGGGGCUAGCGUUGCUCGGAAUCACUGGGCGUAAAGCGCACGUAGGCGGCUUUUUAAGUCAGGGGUGAAAUCCUGGAGCUCAACUCCAGAACUGCCUUUGAUACUGAGAAGCUUGAGUCCGGGAGAGGUGAGUGGAACUGCGAGUGUAGAGGUGAAAUUCGUAGAUAUUGGGAAGAACACCGGUGGCGAAGGCGGCGACCUGGUCCGAUACUGACGCUGAGGCGCGAAAGCGUGGGGAGCAAACAGG
rnacentral:rRNA from 1 species